rnacentral:rRNA from 1 species
AGAGUUUGAUCCUGGCUCAGGAUGGACGCUAGCGGCAGGCUUAAUACAUGCAAGUCGAACGGGAUUUGAGUAGCAAUAUUCAAUGAGAGUGGCGCACGGGUGCGUAACGCGUAUGCAACCUACCUUUAACAGGGGGAUAGCCCGGAGAAAUCCGGAUUAAUACCCCAUAGUAUAUUUUUGUGGCCUCACAGAAAUAUUAAAGCUCCGGUGGUUAAAGAUGGGCAUGCGUGCCAUUAGCUAGUUGGUGAGGUAACGGCUCACCAAGGCGACGAUGGCUAGGGGUCCUGAGAGGGUUAUCCCCCACACUGGUACUGAGACACGGACCAGACUCCUACGGGAGGCAGCAGUAAGGAAUAUUGGGCAAUGGACGCAAGUCUGACCCAGCCAUGCCGCGUGCAGGAAGAAGGCGCUAUGCGUUGUAAACUUCUUUUCCAGGGGGAGAAUUUUCCGGUCGUGACCGGGAUUGACGGUACUCUGGGAAUAAGCAUCGGCUAACUCCGUGCCAGCAGCCGCGGUAAUA